rnacentral:tRNA from 1 species
GCCGGCGUAGCUCAAUGGUAGAGCAACGGUUUUGUAAACCGUAGGUUGUCAGUUCGAUUCUGACCGCCGGCU